UGAGGAAUAUUGGGCAAUGCCCGCAAGGGUGACCCAGCAACGCCGCGUGGAGGAUGAAUGUCGUAAGAUUGUAAACUCCUGUUAGAGGGGAAGAAUAGUACCGGUUGGACCGGUAUAUGACUGUACCCUCAGAGAAAGCCCCGGCUAACUACGUGCCAGCAGCCGCGGUAAUACGUAGGGGGCAAGCGUUGUCCGGAUUUACUGGGUGUAAAGGGCGCGCAGGCGGGAUAAAAAGUCAGUGGUGAAAUCCUACAGCUUAACUGUAGAACUGCCUUUGAUACUUUUAUUCUUGAGUUCGGGAGAGAGAGACGGAAUCCAGGUGUAGUGGUGAAAUACGUAGAUAUCUGGAAGAACACCAGUUGCGAAGGCGGUCUCUUGGUCCGACACUGACGCUGAGGCGCGAAAGCGUGGGGAGCAAACA
rnacentral:rRNA from 1 species